GGCAAGAGUAGAAGCGUUCACCAGCCGUGUGCAUGCCGGGCAUGCGACGGCAGGCCGGGAAUUGCUCUUGCG
rnacentral:ncRNA from 1 species